GCCUGAGUGGCUCAGUUGGUUGAGCAUCUAACUUCCACUCAGGUCAUGACCUCACAGUUCAUGGGUUCGAGCCCCAUGUCAAGUU
rnacentral:tRNA from 1 species